GGGCCCAACUCGACCAUCAUGACUCAGAUUUUCAAUUACUUUGCGCCUUCAGGACGUCCCUCUAAUCUUAGUUAGGCUAUAUAUUUUAUUUACCUGGUCCCUUUUGUAAAUAUUUUGCCAUGAGUAACAUAGUGAAAUCACAUGUUUGAUAAAAUAGCCACAGUUGUUUUGCUUACAGGCUUUUUAAAAUUAGGUUCAGUUCUGAAAUACUUUCAUUUCUCUUCAUAUCCAGAUCCACAUGGAUAAUCGUCAUUCUAUGUGUUACCAGUGACCAGGAUACCAGCUGUUCUGGUUCUCUCCUUGUUCUCAUUGGUCCAUAUUCAUGCUCGACAUACUACAAUACACCCAGGUGUUCGAGGCUUGUAGGAUACCAAGACGUCGUACAAAUACAUUGAUAAGUUAAGUCUAUCAAAUGACAAUAGACGAGAGAUUCAGGAGAUACUGCUGGACGCCGGCGCCCAGCAUGAAAAGCUGCUAGCAGAGUACCAGGCAGAGACAUAAAGACCAUUGACCAUCGAUGAGAGGAUUUCCGAGGCCCAAGUUCUACUUCUGACCAAUCUGCCUGCUGCGGCCACGUUACUUGAAGAUACGCUUAGCUUCCCAGAAAUAUCUACUGAGCAGAAAGUGAAGUAUAUAGGAUUUG